CAGGUCUGUGAUGCCCUUAGAUGUUCGAGGCUGCACGCGCGCUACAAUGGUAUGGUCAGCGAGUUCCUGGCUCGAAAGGGCUGGGGAAUCACAUGAAUCCAUAUCGUGCUGGGGAUAGAUGAUUGCAAUUAUUCGUCUUCAACGAGGAAUUCCUAGUAAGUGCACUUCAUCAGAGUGCGCUGAUUGCGUCCCUGCCCUUU
rnacentral:rRNA from 1 species